UUACCCUACGGGACGCAGCAGUGGGGAAUAUUGCGCAAUGGACGAAAGUCUGACGCAGCGACGCCGCGUGAGGGAUGAAGGUUUUCGGAUCGUAAACCUCUGUCAGGAGGGAAGAAAAAAGACUGUACCUGAGAAGAAAGCUCCGGCUAACUACGUGCCAGCAGCCGCGGUAAUACGUAGGGAGCAAGCGUUAUCCGGAAUUAUUGGGUGUAAAGGGUGCGCAGGCGGCGAGUUAAGUCAGCGGUAAAAUUUCGGGGCUCAACCCCGACGAGCCGUUGAAACUGGCUUGCUAGAGUGGGCGAGAA
rnacentral:rRNA from 1 species